rnacentral:rRNA from 1 species
GACGAACGCUGGCGGCGUGCUUAACACAUGCAAGUCGAACGGAAAGGCCCUGCUUUUGUGGGGUGCUCGAGUGGCGAACGGGUGAGUAACACGUGAGUAACCUGCCCUUGACUUUGGGAUAACUUCAGGAAACUGGGGCUAAUACCGGAUAGGAGCUCCUGCUGCAUGGGGGGGGUUGGAAAGUGUCGGCGGUUGGGGAUGGACUCGCGGCUUAUCAGCUUGUUGGUGGGGUAGUGGCUUACCAAGGCUUUGACGGGUAGCCGGCCUGAGAGGGUGACCGGCCACAUUGGGACUGAGAUACGGCCCAGACUCCUACGGGAGGCAGCAGUGGGGAAUAUUGCACAAUGGGCGGAAGCCUGAUGCAGCAACGCCGCGUGCGGGAUGACGGCCUUCGGGUUGUAAACCGCUUUCGCCUGUGACGAAGCGUGAGUGACGGUAAUGGGUAAAGAAGCACCGGCUAACUACGUG